UGGGGAAUUUUGGACAAUGGGGGAAACCCUGAUCCAGCCAUCCCGCGUGUGCGAUGAAGGCCUUCGGGUUGUAAAGCACUUUUGGCAGGAAAGAAACGUCAUGGGUUAAUACCCCGUGAAACUGACGGUACCUGCAGAAUAAGCACCGGCUAACUACGUGCCAGCAGCCGCGGUAAUACGUAGGGUGCAAGCGUUAAUCGGAAUUACUGGGCGUAAAGCGUGCGCAGGCGGUUCGGAAAGAAAGAUGUGAAAUCCCAGAGCUCAACUUUGGAACUGCAUUUUUAACUACCGGGCUAGAGUGUGUCAGAGGGAGGAGGAAUUCCGCGUGUAGCAGUGAAAUGCGUAGAUAUGCGGAGGAACACCGAUGGCGAAGGCAGCCUCCUGGGAUAACACUGACGCUAAUGCACGAAAGCGUGGGGAGCAAACAGG
rnacentral:rRNA from 1 species